GACGAAGGGGGGCUAGCGUUGUUCGGAAUUACUGGGCGUAAAGCGAGUGUAGGUGGUUGUCCAAGUUGGAUGUGAAAGCCUUGAGCUCAACUCAAGAAAAUGCAUUCAGGACUGGGCGGCUAGAGGACCGGAGAGGAUAGUGGAAUUCCCAGUGUAGUGGUGAAAUACGUAGAGAUUGGGAAGAACACCGAUGGCGAAGGCAGCCAUCUGGACCGACACUGACGCUGAGGCGCGAAAAGCGUGGGGGAGCAAACAGG
rnacentral:rRNA from 1 species